GUUCUACUGAAUCCGUGCCGAGAUUUCGACAGACACCAGACCACCAGGACUGAUGAGAAUCUCAAGAUAAGUGAGGCG
rfam:Schistosoma curassoni strain Dakar, Senegal genome assembly, scaffold: SCTD_scaffold0011979